UAGUGUGGAAGGCAGUCACUAAGUUUGGUCUAAUGGAGACCACAUACGAAGAUCUAAUUCAACACCAUGAGUUACCCCCAGAAGUUAAAUAGGUCCCUAAUUCAGCCUGCUGCAUAAGGUUGUAUCAUAAAAGAGAAAUGGGUUCUGCUCCCUGCUUAAUAAGAAAUCCUGCUUACUUCUCCAGCUUUUGAAGCACAGGUUUUAUGUUUGUUUGGGAUAGAAUCUCAUUCUGUCACCCAGGCCAGAGAGCACUGACAUUAUCAUGGCUCACUGCAACCUCAAACUCCCAAGCUCAAGCGAUCCUCCCACCUCAGCCUCCCAAGUAGCUGGGACCACAGAUUCACCUGUUUGCUUCCUAAGACAGAAAAUAAAUAGGAGGAAAAGGAUCAGAGUCAAAAUUCUGAGAAAAAAAAAAAAUCUGGGCCAUCCAUCCAUCACAAGUGUUCCAAGUAGAAGAAUCCCCUGUAAAAGGAGAUGAGCAUGUUCAAGUAUUAAGCACUUAAAAUGAAGAUUAUGUUUGGAAAUCAAAAUAUAAUUUUGAUAACCCAUUAAAAGUAAUGAAAUGGAGAAAACAA
rnacentral:lncRNA from 1 species